rfam:Canis lupus familiaris chromosome X, whole genome shotgun sequence.
AGGAGGAACAAUCCCAGUGGCGGCGGCCAGCUUUGGAGCCCUGGAUUCAACUCCCGCAGUAACUAUGGAGCUCUCAGUCUGCAGGGGGCCUGGAUGCUCCGGGGGCGG